rnacentral:hammerhead_ribozyme from 1 species
CUCCAACUGACGAGUCCCAAAUAGGACGAAACGCGCGUUUUGAAU